AGGCCGCAACUGAGUAGUCUAAUGUUGUUCCGGUUUUGGUUCUUGUGAACAUUGACAUCGAUUCGUUCCAAAUUUACACUCUCGGGACAUAAUAGAACAAUAUAAUUAUGUUUUACGCUUUGUUCGAUAGAAUGAGAAAAAGUACUCGUCGCAAAGUUAUACUAUUAGGGCGCAACUGAGUAGUCUAAUAUUGUUCCGGUUUUUGUUCUUGUGAACGUUGACAUCGAUUCGUUCCAAAUUUACACUCUCUGGGCAUAAUAGAACAAUAUAAUUAGGUUUUACUCUUUGUUCGAAAAAAUAAGAAAAAGUACUCAUUGCAAAGUUAUACUGUUAUGGCGCAACUGAGUAACCUAAUGUUGUUCCGGUUUUGGUUCUUGUGAACGUUGACAUAGAUUCAUUCCAAAUUUACACUCUCGGGGCAUAAUAGAACAAUAUAAUUAGGUUUUACUCUUUACUCGAUAGAAGGAGAAAAAGUACUCGUCGCAAAGUUAUACUGUUAGGGCGCAACUUAGUAUUCUAAUAUUGUUCUGGUUUUUAUUCUUGUGAACGUUGAUAUCGAUUCGUUCCAAAUUUACACUCUCGGGGCAUAAUCGAACAAUAUAAUUAGGUUUUUCUCUCUAUUCGAUUGAAUGAGAAAAAAUCCUCGUUGCAAAGUUAUACUGUUAGGGCGUAACUAAGUAUUCUAAUGUUGUUCGAUUUUGGUUCUUGUGAACGUUGACACAGAUUCAUUCCAAAUUUACACUCUCGCGGCAUAAUAGAACAAUAUAACUAGGUUUUACUCUUUGCUCGAUAGAAUGAGAAAAAGUACUCGUCGCAAGUUAUACUGUUAGGGCACAACAGAGUAGUCUAAUGUUGUUCUGGUUUUCGUUCUUGUGAACGUUGACAUCGAUUCGUUUCAAAUUUACACUCCUGGGGCUUAAUAGAACGAUAUAAUUAGGUUUUACUCUUUGUUCGAUAGAAUGAGAAAAAGUACUCGUCGCAAGUUAUACUGUUAGGGCACAACAGAGUAGUCUAAUGUUGUUCUGGUUUUCGUUCUUGUGAACGUUGACAUCGAUUCGUUUCAAAUUUACACUCCUGGGGCUUAAUAGAACGAUAUAAUUAGGUUUUACUCUUUGUUCGAUAGAAUGAGAAAAAGUACUCGUCGCAAGUUAUACUGUUAGGGCACAACAGAGUAGUCUAAUGUUGUUCUGGUUUUCGUUCUUGUGAACGUUGACAUCGAUUCGUUUCAAAUUUACACUCCUGGGGCUUAAUAGAACGAUAUAAUUAGGUUUUACUCUUUGUUCGAUAGAAUGAGAAAAAGUACUCGUCGCAAGUUAUACUGUUAGGGCACAACAGAGUAGUCUAAUGUUGUUCUGGUUUUCGUUCUUGUGAACGUUGACAUCGAUUCGUUUCAAAUUUACACUCCUGGGGCUUAAUAGAACGAUAUAAUUAGGUUUUACUCUUUGUUCGAUAGAAUGAGAAAAAGUACUCGUUACAAAAUUAUACUGUUAGGGCGCAACUGAGUAGUCUAAUGUUCUUCCGAUUUUUGUUCUUCUGAACGUUGACAUCGAUUCGUUCCAAAUUUACACUCUCGAGGUGUAAUAAAAUAAUAUAAUUAGGUUUUAGUCUUUGUUCGAUAGAAUGAGAAAAAGUACUCGUUGCAAAGUUAUACUGUUAGGGCGCAACUGAGUAGUCUAAUGUUGUUCCGGUUUUGGUUCUUGUGAACGUUGACAUCGAUUCGUUCCAAAUUUACACUCUCGAGGUGUAAUAAAAUAAUAUAAUUAGGUUUUAGUCUUUGUUCGAUAGAAUGAGAAAAAGUACUCGUUGCAAAUUUAUACUGUUAGGGCGCAACUGAGUUUUCUAAUGUUGUUCCGGUUUUGGUUCAUGUGAACGUUGACAUCGAGUCGUUCCAAAUUUACACUCUCGGGAUAUAAUAGAACAAUAUAAUUAGGUUUUACUCUUUGUUCGAUUGAAUGAGAAAAAGUACUUGUUGCAAAGUUAUACUGUUUGGGCGCAACUGAGUAGUCUAAUGUUAUUUCGGUUUUGGUUCUUGUGAAUGUUGACAUCGAUUCGUUCCAAAUUUACACUCUCAGGGCAUAAUAGAACAAUAUAAUUAGGUUUUACUCUUUGUUCAAUAGAAUGAGAAAAGUACUCGUUGCAAAGUUAUACUGUUAGGGCGCAACUGAGUAGUCUAAUGUUGUUCCGGUUUUGGUUCUUGUGAACGUUGACAUCGAUUCGUUCCAAAUUUACUCUCUCAGGGCAUAAUAGAAU
rnacentral:lncRNA from 1 species